rnacentral:rRNA from 1 species
GAUUGGCUCAGGAUGAACGCUAGCUACAGGCUUAACACAUGCAAGUCGAGGGGCAGCAUGACGAUAGCUUGCUAUUGUUGAUGGCGACCGGCGCACGGGUGAGUAACGCGUAUCCAACCUUCCCUAUAGUAGAGAAUAGCCCGGCGAAAGUCGGAUUAAUGCUCUAUGUUUUCCAAUGCAGACAUCUAAAAUGGAACAAAGGCUUGCCGCUAUAGGAUGGGGAUGCGUCUGAUUAGAUAGUAGGCGGGGUAACGGCCCACCUAGUCUUCGAUCAGUAGGGGUUCUGAGAGGAAGGUCCCCCACAUUGGAACUGAGACACGGUCCAAACUCCUACGGGAGGCAGCAGUGAGGAAUAUUGGUCAAUGGGCGAGAGCCUGAACCAGCCCAAGUAGCGUGCAGGAUGACGGCCCUAUGGGUUGUAAACUGCUUUUAUACGGGGAUAAAGUGGGGGACGUGUCCCUUUUUGUAGGUACCGUAUGAAUAAGGACCGGCUAAUUCCGUGCCAGCAGCGGC